rnacentral:rRNA from 1 species
ACGAACGCUGGCGGCGUGCUUAACCCCUGCAAGUCGAACGGAAAGGCCCUGCUUUUGUGGGGUGCUCGAGUGGCGAACGGGUGAGUAACACGUGAGUAACCUGCCCUUGACUUUGGGAUAACUUCAGGAAACUGGGGCUAAUACCGGAUAGGAGCUCCUGCUGCAUGGUGGGGGUUGGAAAGUUUCGGCGGUUGGGGAUGGACUCGCGGCUUAUCAGCUUGUUGGUGGGGUAGUGGCUUACCAAGGCUUUGACGGGUAGCCGGCCUGAGAGGGUGACCGGCCACAUUGGGACUGAGAUACGGCCCAGACUCCUACGGGAGGCAGCAGUGGGGAAUAUUGCACAAUGGGCGGAAGCCCGAUGCAGCAACGCCGCGUGCGGGAUGACGGCCUUCGGGUUGUAAACCGCUUUCGCCUGUGACGAAGCGUGAGUGACGGUAAUGGGUAAAGAAGCACCGGCUAACUACGUG